rnacentral:rRNA from 1 species
AUACGGAGGGUGCAAGCGUUAUCCGGAUUCAUUGGGUUUAAAGGGUGCGCAGGCGGACUUGUAAGUCAGUGGUGAAAUCCCGGGGCUCGACCUCGGAACUGCCAUUGAUACUGCAAGUCUUGAGUUUGGUUGAAGUGGGCGGAAUGUAGCAUGUAGCGGUGAAAUGCAUAGAUAUGCUACAGAACACCGAUCGCGAAGGCAGCUCACUAAACCAACACUGACGCUCAGGCACGAAAGCGUGGGGAGCGAACAGGAUUAGAAACCCGGGUAGUCC